rnacentral:sRNA from 1 species
GUCUUGAUAAUGAGUGAUGUCACUCACUGUAAGAAUUCCUGGACUUAGAAAGCAGGCUGAGUUAGGCACCAAGAGCAAGCCAGUGAGUAGCACCCCUCCACGGCCUCUGCAUCAGCUCCUGCCUCCAGGCCCCUGCCUUGAACUCCUGUUCUGACUCCCCUGGAUGAUGACAUAAGCCUUCCCCUGCUGAGUUGAUUUGACCGUGGUGUUUUAUCACAGCAAUAGAAUCCCUAACCAAGACCAGGGUAAUGCCUCCCAUCUACUCCUGGGCCAUCCUCCUCCAGCAGGUGUUUUGCUCGCAUGUAUGUCUGUGUACCUCAUGAGAACCUGUCUGUAAAACAUCUACAGCGUCGGGCGCCCACAUGGAUGGUGGAAGGUGCAGGUUGCCUCCUCUGAGUGGUCCUCUGAUUGCUACAUAUGUGUCAUUGCCUUAAGGCCACUUAUUGCUGUGAGGACAUACCACGACCAAGGCAGCUUUUAAAGGAAAUCACGUCAUUGCGGGCUGGCUUACAGUUUCAGAGGCUUUGUCCAUGACCGUGAUCAUCAUGGUGGGAUGAUCAGGGACACGCCUCCACCAAAGCCACACCUCCUAAUCCUUCCCAAACAGUUCCUUCAACUGGGACGAAGAAUUCAAACAUAGGAGUCUAUGGGGGGGUUGUUGGGGAUUUAGCUCAGUGGUAGAGCGCUUGCCUAGCAAGCGCAAGGCCCUGGGUUCGGUCCCCAGCUCUGGAAAAAAAAAAGGAGUCUCAUUUGAACCACCACAGCCAUGUCCACAACAAGACUGAAUAAAAUAGAAUCUUAAAAAAGAA